GGCGAACGCUGGCGGCGUGCUUAACACAUGCAAGUCGAACGGAAAUGCCCUGCUUGUUUUGGGUGCUCGAGUGGCGAACGGGUGCGUAACACGUGAGUAACCUGCCCUUGACUUUGGGAUAACUUCAGGAAACUGGGGCUAAUACCGGAUAGGAGCUCCUGCUGCAUGGUGGGGGUUGGAACGUUUGGGCGGUCGUGGAUGGACUCGCGGCUUAUCAGCUUGUUGGUGGGGUAGUGGCUUACCAAGGCUUUGACGGGUAGCCGGCCUGAGAGGGGGACCGGCGACAUGGGGACUGAGGUAGGGCCCAGACUCGUACGGGAGGCAGCAGUCGGGAACAUUGCACAAUGGGCGGAAGCGUGUUGCGGCAGCGCCGGGGGCGGGAUGACGGCUUGCGGGUGGUAAACCGCUGUAGCCUGUGACGAAGAGUGUGUGACGGUAAUGGGUAAAGAAGCACCGGCUAACUACGUG
rnacentral:rRNA from 1 species